rnacentral:rRNA from 1 species
GCUCCCCGUGCCCGGGGGGGACGGGCCCGAAAGGCAGCGGCGGCACCGCGUCCGGUCCUCGAGCGUAUGGGGCUUCGUCACCCGCUCUGGAGGCCGGGCCGGCGUGCUGGCCGAUCGACCGUCUUCCUUCUCCAGGUUGACCUCGGAUCAGGUAGGGAU